UCAUCAGCAAGUUUGCUGAAGGUAUACUUAAUCCCAGUGUUUACGUCAUUGAUAAAGAUGUUGAAGAGCAUGGGUCCUAAGAUGUCCCUAGGGGACACCACUCAUGACCAGCCUCCACCUGAACACAGAGCCACGGACCAUAACUUUCUGGCUGUGACCACCCAAGCGAUUCCUUAUCCACUGGAUAUUCUAGUGUUCAAACCCUUAUCUUCCCAAUUUAGAGAUUAGAAUGUGGUAUGGUACCAUAUCAAAGGCCUUGCAGAAUUGAAGGUAGAUAACAUCAGUCACUCUUCUUUUGUCUAGUGGUGCUCUCACUUCAUCAUAGAAGGCCACCAGAUUGGUUAGACACAAUCUGCUCUUGGUGAUGCUGUGCUGGUUGUGAUGGAUUAUUUCCUUAUGGCAGUCGUCACUGAAAUUUAUAUUGUGGAGAGUGCUACAGAAAGAAGUCCUCCUGAGAAUUUGACAGGGAGGUGGAGCAUUAGUUGGAUCACCCAGGAAAGCAUUUUAAAUGCCAGCAUCAAGGAAACAGUGGUAUGAUUAUAGUCAACAUCCCCUUCCUGAAGUUAUUCUCCACUCACAUUCUGCAGUGCUAUUCCUUCAAGAAACUCCAUCCCUGCUCUUAGGUUUUCUGUCUCAGGGAUAGCUGGGCAUAUAGCUUACGUGGUUUAGUUGCAGUUCACAUGCCAGAGUUGCUAUACUAAAGAGCAAGAAUGGUGGUACUCUGCCAGUUGCUUUAUGCCAAAAAAGAGUCAUUAAUGCUGGGGCAGCUCCCUUGGGCCUGCCUUGUUCAGCAAUGGUCAAGAUGCUUGAAGGAAACUCCCACACUUUCCACCCAGAGCUGAUCCUUCAACUCUCUCAUGCAUAAGGCUGCGUGGCUAUGGUGCAGUGUGUGGGAAAGGAGAAAAGACUAACAGUGCUUAUAUCCAUCCUGGGCCUUGGAGUGACCUCCAGCGAGGCUGUCAAAUGGAAAGAAAAAUUUGACAUGCAGAGUUCCACUUCAAGGCACAAGAGAACAUGGUAUGCACAGGUGAACUACAUAUCUUCUCACAGAAUCACAGAAUCAUAGAAUCACCAAGCUUGGAAAAGACCUCCAAAAUAUCUAGUCCAAUUGUCCAUCUGCCACCGAUAUUUUCCCACUAAACCAUGUCCCUUAGUACCACAUCUGCACAUUUCUUGAACACUUCCAGCGAUGGUGACUCAACCACCUCCUUGGGCAGAUCAUUCCAGCACCUGACCCUACUUUUGGAAAAAUUUUUCCUGAUAUCCAACCUCACAUUUACACUUGAGAUCAGCUCCUUGCUGAUAUUUCCAUACUAGCUUGGCAGACAUUUCAGGUCUCUGAGCCAGGCAUGACUGGUGUGCUCCAGCUCACAUUAGGGUACUCUCAGGAGGCACUGUGUCCCUGAAGGAGUUCUCUGCAGUCUCCUCCUCUCCCUCCUUUCCAAAAGGAAGAAACGAUAUAUGUUCUGUACACAGUAACAGUAGCAAAUUGUGUCAUCUUGUUAUGUUGUUUUAUAUGCAGUUUAUUUAGAGCUAUUUACACUCAGUAAUGUAUAGGCUAUUAUAAACACUACUUAUUUAGCAUUUACUUAAACCCCACCCAUUAGAAUGAAGUUACUAGGCAUGCAGGUUAUGAUAGUCCACAUGGACUAGAGCCCAAAGUCAAGAAACAUUAAACUUCCAUACUUAUCAUGUGCUACAGAUUAAUCCAGUGUUUUGCUAUUAGAUAAUUGCAAAAAAAUAUAUCACUAAUGGUAUGAUAUCAAGAGACAGAGACUUCUUUUAUACAUUUUUUUCAGUGACUUGAACAGAAAAAGGCUAAUAAUUAAUAUAAAAUGACCAAUAAUCUGUGAUUAAUUUUCAGACAACCAUCUAUGCAAAGUUUUCACAGCGCUUUGCACUUUAACUAAUGAAGAUUGCAGGUGGUCAUCAAAAUCUAUAUUAACAGUCUAGUUGCUAGGAAACAUUCCUCUAAUUCCUCUGAUUAAAACCAUCUUAGACAUCACAAGUCUUACUUCACGCAUGAGAUCAAAACACUUAAAAUCAAGUAAAUGAAAUCACAGUCAUGUAUUUGAAGUAUUUGCAGCUAUCAUUCAUUUCGGAUAUCAUUAUCUCUCUACCUAUGCCAAGACCAUUUUUGGUUGCAUUAAUCUGUGUCUGAUGGCUCAAGCCAGUCUCAUGAACCUGGUGCUAACAUCCCAGCUAACUCCCACUUUCUUCUAUAAGCUGCUGUCACUUAAAAAUCUUGUUUUGAAAAAACUGUGAAGAAUUCUUUUGAACUUUUUGUUUUAUGUGGGACUUAAAGAAAACUGUAUUUUUGCCAAAAACCCAGUCAUAACUUACUGAAGACAGGAUGUAUAUUAAUAAAUAUGUAAAAAGUUAUUUAGGAUAUUGCA
ensembl:lncRNA